GUAUUGUAUUGCGUUAAACGCGACAUACAUUCCAUAGGACUUUAUUACAGUGUGUGUGUAAAUAUGCAGAACCACGGCAAGAGGACAGAGUCCCCCACGCCAUAGAACUACAGAGGGUGCACAGGUGUGAGUGGAUGUGUAAACAGAGCGUGCACGUGCCCCCCUUCGAGGGCCAGCAACAACUCGUGUCGACAAUUCGGUAAUGAUCCUUCCGCAGGUUCACCUACGGAAA
rnacentral:misc_RNA from 1 species